GUGGAUGUAGUUCAGUGGUAGAGUUCUCACCUUCCAUGUCAGAGACCCAGGUUUGAUUCCUGGCCAUGCACA
rnacentral:tRNA from 1 species